rnacentral:rRNA from 1 species
UACGAAGGGGACUAGCGUUGUUCGGAAUCACUGGGCGUAAAGCGCACGUAGGCGGAUUUGUAAGUCAGGGGUGAAAUCCCGGGGCUCAACCUCGGAACUGCCUUUGAUACUGCGAAUCUUGAGUCCGAUAGAGGUGGGUGGAAUUCCUAGUGUAGAGGUGAAAUUCGUAGAUAUCGGGAGGAACACCGGUGGCGAAGGCGGCUCACUGGCCCGAUACUGACGCUGAGGCACGAAAGCGUGGGGAGCAAACAGG